GAUGAACGCUGGCGGCGUGCUUAACACAUGCAAGUCGAACGAAGCACUUUAUUAUGAUUUCUUCGGAAUGACGAUUUAGUGACUGAGUGGCGGACGGGUGAGUAAUGCAUGAGCAACCUGCCCUGCAGUGGGGGACAACAGUUGGAAACGACUGCUAAUACCGCAUGAUGUAUCUGGAAGGCAUCUUCCGGAUACCAAAGAUUUAUCGCUGUGGGAUGGGCUCAUGUCUGAUUAGUUAGUUGGUGGGGUAACGGCCUACCAAGACUGCGAUCAAUAGCCGACCUGAGAGGGUGACCGGCCACAUUGGGACUGAGACACGGCCCAGACUCCUACGGGAGGCAGCAGUGGGGAAUAUUGGGCAAUGGGCGCAAGCCUGACCCAGCAAACGCCGCGUGAAGGAAGAAAGGCUUUCGGGUUGUAAACUCUUUUGUCUAGGGACGAGGAGAAGACGGUACCUGACGAAUAAGCCACGG
rnacentral:rRNA from 1 species